rnacentral:rRNA from 1 species
CCUAGCCUUGGAGUGGGGAAUAACAGCUGGAAACAGCUGCUAAUACCGCAUGAUGCAGUUGAGUCGCAUGGCUCUGACUGCCAAAGAUUUAUCGCUCUGAGAUGGACUCGCGUCUGAUUAGCUAGUUGGUGGGGCAACGGCCCACCAAGGCGACGAUCAGUAGCCGGACUGAGAGGUUGGCCGGCCACAUUGGGACUGAGACACGGCCCAGACUCCUACGGAAGGCAGCAG